rnacentral:rRNA from 1 species
UACGUAGGGUGCGAGCGUUGUCCGGAUUUAUUGGGCGUAAAGAGCUCGUAGGCGGCUUGUCGCGUCGAAUGUGAAAACCCGAGGCUCAACUUCGGGCUUGCAUUCGAUACGGGCAGGCUAGAGUUCGGUAGGGGAGACUGGAAUUCCUGGUGUAGCGGUGAAAUGCGCAGAUAUCAGGAGGAACACCGGUGGCGAAGGCGACAUCCUGGACCGGUAUUGACGCUGAGGCGCGAAAGCCAGGGGAGCAAACGGG